UCACACCGUAUUGAAGUUACCUGUUUGCAUGCGGCCUCCCCACUAGAUUAUGAGCUUCUGGAGGGCGGGGACU
rnacentral:miRNA from 14 species